rnacentral:rRNA from 1 species
AGACGUCUACAUUAGAUACCCCCGUAGUCCCAGCCGUAAACUAUGCGCGUUAGGUGUAUCGGUGACCACGAGUCACCGAGGUGCCGAAGGGAACCGUGAAACGUGCCGCCUGGGAAGUACGGUCGCAAGGCUGAAACUUAAAGGAAUUGGCGGGGAGCACCACAACGGGUGGAGCCUGCGGUUUAAUUGGACUCAACGCCGGGAAGCUCACCGGAUAAGACAGCGGAAUGAUUGCCGGGCUGAAGACUCUGCAUGACUAGCUG